rnacentral:rRNA from 1 species
GUAAGUGAAAUUCAUGAAACUAAAAUUAAUUGGCGGCUUUUUAAAUAUUUUAGAGAAAUUUAUUCUGUAAAGGAUUUAACCCCAAAAUCUUACUUUUUUUUGUAUAAUAUACAAAAAUAUAUUACAUUUCAUAUACCUCUAUUUUUUGAUUAUUAAAUUAAUUAUAGCAUUUUCUAUGAUUGUUUAGAAGUAUUUUAGGGAAAGGUGUGGAUUAGAAAAAAGAUUGAAAUAAGUUUUAUUAAUUAGUAUUUAAUGAAAUUUAAAUUGAUAGAUUUAAAUUCAAUAAAAUUUAAAAGUAAAAUUAGGGAAAUAGGCUAAUUUGAAUAGAUUUUUAAAA